CAUUUCUCUGAGCAGAGGGUGAUGGGAGUAAUGUGAGUAGAGCUAUCUCCUGGUCACAUUUCAUUAGGUUUCUGUGUUGUUUGGACCUCUGAUUGCUUCUGAGGGGUGCUGAUGAGUCUCCAUCAUUAGGAUGUGCACAGUGUCCCUAUCAGACAGCUGUUCUAAUGCAGACACAGGCUGUUGUUAGCAUCCUGACCAAGCACUUGGAGCACCUCCUUCUUGCUUCUUCCUCCGUGAACUGGUUAUGAGGCUUGUUGGACCAGAAGCUACAAAGGCUGCACCGAUCUUUCCUCGUGUUUAAAGAGAAGUCAUUUCCUGGUAGUGGGUCCCCUGUGCAAAUCCCAGGGCUGAUGUCAUCGGUGCUGGUAUGGGAGCACGUGCAGGUAAACGACAUCACCAUGAACUUGUGUCAUGCCCCACGUCAUCCGGAUGUGGCAAGUAGGGGUAAUAAAUAGGGAAAGGCCAGACUUCUCAUGAUCGUAUCUCCUCUGUAGUUUGGGCUGACUUUGGUACCUCCAUCCCAAGCACACAGAGCUUCCUAAAAGGCAAAAAUGAUGCUUGGUAAGAAAACCUGGAGGAGGAAAUACAACUUCAUCACCAUGCAAUGUUCACCACCUUCACCUGCUGGUCCAGGCACAUCUCUGAGGGAGUCUUGAGUCCCUAACGUGUCCUGGCAUUGCUCUUAUCUACACCUUCAUUCUCUUUUUGCUCUGUUAUUGCCUUUCAUUUGCUGAGGACAAGCCUAUGUGCAGAGUAACCCUGCUGCUGGAUAUGUGUGGAGACACAGGUGAGGAAGGCAUGGAGAAGAUGAGGGUCUCUUGUUCUCAGCUCCAAGUUGCUGUCCACCUGAACCUAAGUGGAGCUGUGAGGGGAGUUUUGAAGGCAGACUUUGGGAAUCUAUCACCAAAUAGAUGAUAUCCCACAUUAGGAAACAUCCUUCUACUAUUUCUACAUACAGCCUCAUUCAGCAUUGCCUUCAUCCUCUCCCUUUUAAUCCUCACCUUCCACAUAUGUAGCUUGUUUUCACACAACACACUUCAGACUUUCUUGGUUUUUAAGCUGUAUCCUUGCACUUACCAGCAUUCCUUCUUUCUCUUUCUGACUGCAUCAACAGUCCCAGAGCUGCCAGGAAGAUGCUGCAUCCCUUCUGCUACAACUCAGCCUUGCCACUGUGCUCUCUGCCUUACAUAGUGGACCUGGGUGAUGGAGGCAAGCCCAAAGUUAGGAUAUAAACCUGUGCUCUGUGUAUUUUAAACCAAUGUCUCCUUAAAACACAGGGAAAGGCUACACUGAAGCAGAAGACUGGGUCCUGCUCUUUCUCCACUCCUCAGUGCACACAUAGGUAGUCUCAAAUGGGAAACAGCCAUGGGAAAGCACAUCCCCUGGGACCAGGGUAACGAGUCCCAGGCAGAGAAAAAGGCACAAAGGGAGGAAAAGGAGGUGGCCACGUUACCUAGGGGAUUCUCUCCGCAACAAACAAAAAGGUGUGACGAAAUGCUGGGUUGCACAUAUGCAAACAGCAGCCAGAGGUAUUUCCUUGAGCAGGAGUGAGAGCUCAACAGCUCGGCAUUGCACAAGUGGAGGGUUGGAGUCUAGUCUGUUCUUGUUUUCCCAGUUAAAUACCAUUUUUGAAAUGUUUUAUCCUUUGUAUUGUUUAAUCUCUGCCAUAAACUACACAGGACGUGUCAUGAAAUAGUGCUACAGCAGACGCCUUGACGUGGGGAGUUUCCAUGUCUUGAACAAGACUUUGCUUCGCCUUAUGGCUUGGCAGAUUCAGCACAGACAUCCUCCUCUUAGAUCUGGAAAGCCAGGGCAAAACCAGAGGUCACAGCAGCCACCGAAAACCUGUCAUUCCUAUCUAAAAAGACCUGAAAAAAACCACCCUUCCUAUUCAUGUCAAGCAAUCUUCCUGAGAAACCCUCUCUGC